UUCCUCAUUCAGUAAGUCUUGCAAGGCCAUCAGUUUAUUGUAUGUGGAAGAAGAAAGCAACAGUUAUCCUUCUCUGAAGGACAUGUCCACAUCCAUCUUUCACAGAGAUGUUUGUUUCAGUAUCAUUAAACUGAACAAGGAGCUGAGAAAGCCCCUCAGAACUUGGGAAAUUUGGAAGCUGAGGGUAUUUUCACAGGCAUACCAACAACCACUGAAAUGUGGGCAUCUUUAAAACUUAACUCUUGCCAGGAUCACUUCCUACCCCAGGACAAUGGCUGAUUUCUACACUAUGGAGGGAGAGCUUUCUGCUUCUGUUAUUGAGGUAUCUUUUGACCACCAAUUAGGAAACUGUUGGUCAAACUCUGCAAUUCUGUAAGCCCUAAGUGGAGAAACUUGUGAAAAAGAGAAAACAUACAACAUGGAAAAGAAAAAGGCAGAGGAAGGUUAUUAGCAAACUGAGGGCAGGCAAGAUUUUCCAUCACCUCACUUUCCCAAGGUCAGUAUUUCACAUAAACUGGAAUACUCCUCUGACCUCAGGAUCCCUUUCCCUGCUUAUUGCUUUUCCAGGGAAAGAUUUGUGACGUCAUUCUGCCAGCCCUCCUGCUGCCUGUGUACAAGGAUGCCCAGCACCCCUGCAGUGCCCUGCAAACUUUUAACGCAGAAACGUCCUAGAUGGUUUCCAGUCCCAUAUCAGGCACAUUAAUGGCUGCUCCUCUCUGCCUGGGGCUUGGUUAUAUCAUGGAGAUGUCAACCUUUCCUGUAGUAAGGGCUCAAAGAUGCAGCCUGAUAGGCAGGGAGGAGGUAUACCACCAGGACCAACAAUCCAUGGACAGCGCACACACAGCUCUACCAAUUAAACACUAGACUGCUUCCAACCUGGAUGGGAAACACACAUUGCCCUGCACUCACCUGAGUCCCUUCCUGAGGCUUCUCCUAGGAUUGGAAACUAAAGGGUUAAUGUCGGGCACAGUAAAGGAGCCAGUGGGACCCUACACAGCCUUCAGACUACACUGUCACAGAUUUUCAAUACCCCCCUCUGAAUAUAUAGGCUUUAAAGGCAAGAAACAGAUGAAUUGUGGGGGCAAUUCUGAGUUACCUUUUCCUUUCUGAUGGUUCUGUCACCCAGACACACAUUAGGGCUCACCUCUGGCAGGCCCUAAAGGAUUUGUGCAAGUGACUGUUGAAUGCAAGUGGGAGUGCAAGACACAGGAUGAGCAAGAUAGAGCUCAUUCUAUGUCUGAUGGUUGAACUAUACAUAAUGACCGUAACGGAGUUGAUUAUUGAUGAAUCUGGAUGGUGCAGGAUCAAUGUGCAAGGGAAGCCUAAUACACUCACAGAAAUGUGCACAGUAGUUGUUUUGCAGUGAGUGUGCAAGCAUUGUUAGAUGGCACACAAUGGCUGUGCAGGAGGGGAAGCUGGAAGAGCGAGGGGCAUGAGGGGAAGUGGAUAACCUGGCCCCAGUGUGUGUGCAGUCUUGCACAAUGUGUGUGCAAUAAUUCUGUAGACGCACACAGUAGUGUGUGAGAAUAGAAAAAUUUGAUGGUGAGCAUGGGAGGAGGGUUGUUAGUGCUACAAGAGUGUGCUGGAGUGAAAGUGGGAUGCGUGUGCAUAGACUGGUGAACUGCACGUGGAGACUAUGCAGUGACUCCAGAUGGCAAGUAGAUGUGCAAAGUGACCUGGAAAUGAGUCACUGGCUUUUUAAUUACACAGUGAGUGUGCAAGGAGAUACUGGUGAGUCUGGGUGGGCAGGUAAGAACUGGGCACUGGCUGAAGCAGAGUGACCAGUGAAUAUGUGAGGAGUGAUUACAGUGGUCCAUUUUAUGUGCCAGCGUGGUUAGGUCAUGGUGCAGUUAUUUGGCUAAAUGCCAGUGUCUGGAUGUUGCUGUGAAGGCAUUUUUAAACUGUGGUUAACAUUCAACUGACGAGAUUUUAAGCACAUGACCCUCCAAAAUGUGGGUAGACCUCAUUAAAUCAGUUUAAGAUCUUAACAGCAAA
ensembl:lncRNA